rnacentral:sRNA from 1 species
UUUCUUCUUUUGUUUCUUU